CAAUAGCGUAUAUUAAAGUUGUUGCAGUUAAAAAGCUCGUAGUUGGAUUUGUGGCGUACGGUGGGUUCCGGGCACUUGUUGUCUGAGUAACUUGCUGUUGCCAUCCUUGGGUGGAACCUGUGUGGCAUUAGGUUGUCGUGCAGGGGAUGCCCAUCAUUUACUGUGAAAAAAUUAGAGUGUUCAAAGCAGGCUUAUGCCGUUGAAUAUAUUAGCAUGGAAUAAUGAGAUAGGACUUUUUUGCUAUUUUGUUGGUUUGCGCAAAGAGGUAAUGAUUAAUAGGGACAGUUGGGGGUAUUCGUAUUCCAUUGUCAGAGGUGAAAUUCUUGGAUUUUUGGAAGACGAACUACUGCAAAAGCAUUUACCAAGGAUGUUUUCAUUAA
rnacentral:rRNA from 1 species